rnacentral:rRNA from 1 species
CCUACGGGUGGCUGCAGUCGAGAAUCUUCGGCAAUGGGCGAAAGCCUGACCGAGCGACGCCGCGUGAGGGAUUGAAGGCCUUCGGGUUGUAAACCUCUUUCGUAGAGGAGGAAGGGGCCGUGCAGAGCGGUCUUUGACCUAUUCUAGGAAGAAGCUUGGGCUAAGUUCGUGCCAGCAGCCGCGGUAAGACGAACCAAGCGAACGUUAUUCGGAAUUACUGGGCUUAAAGCGCGUGUAGGCGGAUGACCACGUCGAUUGUUGAAAUCCCCCGGCUCAACCGGGGAACUGGCGUCGAUACGAGUUGUCUGGAGGUGGGUAGGGGAGACUGGAACUUCCGGUGGAGCGGUGAAAUGCGUUGAGAUCGGAAGGAACGCCCGCGGCGAAAGCGAGUCUCUGGACCCAUACUGACGCUGAGACGCGAAAGCCAGGGGAGCAAACGGGAUUAGAUACCCUUGUAGUC